AGGCUUAUCUCCCCCAAGAGUCCACAUCGACGGGGGGGUUUGGCACCUCGAUGUCGGCUCAUCACAUCCUGGGGCUGUAGUAGGUCCCAAGGGUUGGGCUGUUCGCCCAUUAAAGUGGUACGCGAGCUGGGUUCAGAACGUCGUGAGACAGUUCGGUCCCUAUCCGUCGCAGGCGUAGGAAAUUUGAGAAGACCUGUCCUUAGUACGAGAGGACCGGGAUGGACGUACCUCUGGUGUACCAGUUGUUCUGCCAAGGGCAUGGCUGGGUAGCUAUGUACGGAAUGGAUAAGCGCUGAAAGCAUCUAAGCGCGAAGCCAACUUCAAGAUAAGAUUUCCCACCGCAAGGGUAAGACCCCAGAAAGACUAUCUGGUUGAUAGGUCGAAGGUGUAAGUGCAGCAAUGUAUUUAGCUUAUCGAUACUAAUAGGUCGAGGACUUGACCAAU
rnacentral:rRNA from 1 species